AGUGAACGCUGGCGGUAGGCCUAACACAUGCAAGUCGAACGGCAGCACAGAGGAGCUUGCUCCUUGGGUGGCGAGUGGCGGACGGGUGAGGAAUACAUCGGAAUCUACUCUGUCGUGGGGGAUAACGUAGGGAAACUUACGCUAAUACCGCAUACGACCUACGGGUUAAAGCAGGGGAUCUUCGGACCUUGCGCGAUUGAAUGAGCCGAUGUCGGAUGAGCGAGUUGGCGGGGUAAAGGCCCACCAAGGCGACGAUCCGUAGCUGGUCUGAGAGGAUGAUCAGCCACACUGAAACUGAGACACGGUCCAGACUCCUACGGGAGGCAGCAGUGGGGAAUAUUGGACAAUGGGCGCAAGCCUGAUCCAGCCAUACCGCGUGGGUGAAGAAGGCCUUCGGGUUGUAAAGCCCUUUUGUUGGGAAAGAAAUCCAUCUGGUUAAUACCCGGGUGGGAUGACGGUACCCAAAGAAUAAGCACCGGCUAACUUCGUGCCAGCCGCCGCCGUAA
rnacentral:rRNA from 1 species